UACGUAGGGACCAAGCGUUGUCCGGAAUCAUUGGGCGUAAAGAGCGUGUAGGCGGCUUGUUAAGUCUUGCGUGAAAUCUCGGGGCUCAACCCCGAGCGGUCGUGAGAAACUGGCAGGCUAGAGUGCGGGAGAGGAGAGUGGAAUUCCUGGUGUAGCGGUGAAAUGCGCAGAUAUCGGGAAGAACACCCGUGGCGAAGGCGGCUCUCUGGAACGCAACUGACGCUGAGACGCGAAAGCGUGGGGAGCAAACAGG
rnacentral:rRNA from 1 species